rnacentral:piRNA from 1 species
UAUCAUAACCAUGGAUGUCUCUCACUGU